AUGAAGCAGCACAAAACCAAUAAAAAGUUUUGUGCAGAACAAGUCAAUAACUACUGUCCACUACUCCCAAAAGAUUUCUGCAAUAUGCUACACUUCAAACUUUCUUCUCCAGUAUAUGAUUCUCUACACCUUCAACUGUUUUAUGAAGAGGCACACAACCAAUAAAACGGUACAUUGAAUUGUCAUUUGCAUGGUUUCACUGAAUAACUGUACAUCUUAUGAUGCAGACUCAUGUCUACAUAAAUUACAAGAUGUUUUAGUUGUGCAAACACUGUCAUUAUCAAUUUGUUAAUGUUCUUUGAAUGUAUCUUCAGAUUUCUACAAUAGCUACAGUUGAAACUUCCUCCUUAUCCAUUAAAUGAUUCUCCACUCUAUGAACUCUUUUGAUGACGCACACAACCGAUAAAAAAGGUAGAAUAUAAUAUCCUUUGUGCCUUUUUAAUCAGAAGUUGAUACUAAUUUGAUUUAAUGUAUUGAUAUAUAUAAUUUUUUUUUUUUUUUUUUUUUUUUUUUUUUUUUUUUUUUUUUUUUUUUUAUUAAGGCAGAAUAUUUUCAAUGUAAACUGUGUAAAGUGUUUGUAAAGAAUAAAAACAUGAAUUAGAAUAUACUUUUGUCCUUGCUGUCAUGAACUUCCAUGUACUGUAUGAAUGUCUUCUGUUUACUGAUCUAUGCUAGAUGUUCGAAGUAGAAGUUUAGUUUUGUUCCCCAUACUUAUUU
rnacentral:lncRNA from 12 species